rnacentral:rRNA from 1 species
UACGGAGGGUGCGAGCGUUGUCCGGAAUCACUGGGCGUAAAGGGCGCGUAGGCGGCCUGAUAAGUAGGGGGUGAAAUCCUGCGGCUUAACCGCAGGGCUGCCUUCUAGACUGUCAGGCUCGAGCACAGUAGAGGCAGGUGGAAUUCCCGGUGUAGCGGUGGAAUGCGUAGAGAUCGGGAGGAACACCAGUGGCGAAGGCGGCGUCCUGGACCGGUGCUGACGCUGAGGAGCGAAAGCGUGGGGAGCGAUCCGG